GUGGGGAAUAUUGGGCAAUGGGCGCAAGCCUGACCCAGCAACGCCGCGUGAGGGAAGAAGGUCUUCGGAUUGUAAACCUCUGUCCUUGGUGAAAAGUAAGAGAUGGUAGCCAAGGAGGAAGCUCCGGCUAACUACGUGCCAGCAGCCGCGGUAAUACGUAGGGAGCGAGCGUUGUCCGGAAUGAUUGGGCGUAAAGGGCGUGUAGGCGGCCGUUUAAGUCUGGAGUGAAAUUCCUGUUUUUAAGGUAGGAACUGCUUUGGAAACUGGACGGCUUGAGUGCAGGAGAGGUUAUCGGAAUUCCCGGUGUAGCGGUGAAAUGCGUAGAGAUCGGGAGGAACACCAGUGGCGAAGGCGGGUAACUGGACUGCAACUGACGCUCAUGUGCGAAAGCUAGGGCAGCGAACGGGAUUAGAAACCCUGGUAGUCC
rnacentral:rRNA from 1 species